AGGACGAACGCUGGCGGCGUGCUUAACACAUGCAAGUCGAACGGUAAGGCCCUUCGGGGUACACGAGUGGCGAACGGGUGAGUAACACGUGGGUGAUCUGCCCUGCACUUCGGGAUAAGCCUGGGAAACUGGGUCUAAUACCGGAUAGGACUCCGAAUCGCAUGGUUUGGGGUGGAAAGCUUUUGCGGUGUGGGAUGGGCCCGCGGCCUAUCAGCUUGUUGGUGGGGUGAUGGCCUACAAGGCGACGACGGGUAGCCGGCCUGAGAGGGUGUCCGGCCACACUGGGACUGAGAUACGGCCCAGACUCCUACGGGAGGCAGCAGUGGGGAAUAUUGCACAAUGGGCGCAAGCCUGAUGCAGCGACGCCGCGUGAGGGGUGACGGCCUUCGGGUUGUAAACCUCUUUCAAUAGGGACGAAGCGUAAGUGACGGUACCUAUAGAAGAAGCACCGGCCAACUACGUG
rnacentral:rRNA from 1 species